GAUGAACGCUGGCGGCGUGCCUAAUACAUGCAAGUCGAGCGAACGGACGAGAAGCUUGCUUCUCUGAUGUUAGCGGCGGACGGGUGAGUAACACGUGGAUAACCUACCUAUAAGACUGGGAUAACUUCGUGAAACCGGAGCUAAUACCGGAUAAUCUUUUGAACCGCAUGGUUCAAAAGUGAAAGACGGUCUUGCUGUCACUUAUCGAUGGAUCCGCGCUGCAUUAGCUAGUUGGUGAGGUAACGGCUUACCAAGGCGACGAUGAAUAGCCGACCUGAGAGGAUGACCGGCCACACGGGAACUGAGACACGGUCCAGACUCCUACGGGAGGCAGCAGUGGGGAAUAUUGCACAAUGGGCGCAAGCCUGAUGCAGCCACGCCGCGUGGAUGAAGAAGGUCUUCGGGUUGUAAAAUACUUUCAUGGGGGAAGAAGAGAGGAAAGUUAAUACGUUCGCUCAUUGACGUUACCAACAGAAGAAGCACGGGCUAACUCCGUG
rnacentral:rRNA from 1 species